rnacentral:rRNA from 1 species
UACGUAGGGGGCAAGCGUUGUCCGGAUUUAUUGGGCGUAAAGGGCGCGUAGGCGGUUUCUUAAGUUUGACGUGACAGUGGGUGGCUUAACUACCCAAGGCCUUUGAAAACUGGGGAACUUGAGGACCAGAGAGGGACAUAGAAUUCCGGGUGGAGUGGUGAAAUGCGUAGAUAUCCGGAGGAAUACCAAAGGCGAAGGCAGUGUCCUGGAGGGUUAACUGACGCUGAGGCGCGAAAGCUAGGGGAGCGAACAGG